rnacentral:rRNA from 1 species
GUGCUCGGGCGGGCCGCCCUGGGUUUACCGUUGUUACGACUUAGCCCCAGUCUGCCUGGUUUUACCCUAAUCUGCCUGCCUUUGCAGCUAACGCCUUCAGGUCCACCCUGACUUCCCAUGGCUUUGACUGGGCGGUGUGUACAAGGUCCGGGAACGUAUUCAUCCGCGCUCAUGGCUUGACUGCGUCGAUUACUAGCGAUUCCAUGCUUCAUGAGGGUCGUGAGCUGUGCAGCCCUCAAUCUCGAACCUGAGACCAGCUUUUUGAGAUUGUGCUGCCCCUGUUCGCCAGGUGGCUACCCUUUGUUACGUGCCAUUGUUAGCACGUGUGUCUGCCCUGGGCGUAAGGGUCCAUGAUGACUUACCUCGUCCCCCCCUUCCUCUCUGCUUCGUCAGGCAGUAUAUCAGAGUCCCAACUUUACUUCUGCAACUAAAUACAGGGUUUCGU